UACCCCUAGCAAAUCUCAAAAAACCGUUCUCAGUUCGGAUUGGAGUCUGCAACUCGACUCCAUGAAGUUGGAAUCGCUAGUAAUCGCGGAUCAGCACGCCGCGGUGAAUACGUUCCCGGGCCUUGUACACACCGCCCGUCACACCAUGGGAGCUGACUCAACCAGAAGACGAUCAGGGUAACCGCAAGGAGCCCUUCGGCGAAGGAGGGGUCAGCGACUGGGGUGAAG
rnacentral:rRNA from 1 species